UGCCAGCAGCCGCGGUAAUACGGAGGGGGUUAGCGUUGUUUGGAAUUACUGGGCGUAAAGCGUACGUAGGCGGAUUAAUAAGUUAGAGGUGAAAUCCCAGGGCUCAACCUCGGAACUGCCUCCAAAACUCCCAGUCUAGAGUUCGAGAGAGGUGAGUGGAAUUCCAAGUGUAGAGGUGAAAUUCGUAGGUAUUUGGAGGAACACCAGUGGCGAAGGCGGCUCACUGGCUCGAUACUGACGCUGAGGUGCGAAAGUGUGGGGAGCAAACGGGAUUAGAUA
rnacentral:rRNA from 1 species